UACGUAGGGUGCAAGCGUUGUCCGGAAUUAUUGGGCGUAAAGAGCUCGUAGGCGGUUUGUCGCGUCUGCUGUGAAAACUCGGGGCUUAACCCCGGGCCUGCAGUGGGUACGGGCAGACUAGAGUGCGGUAGGGGAGACUGGAAUUCCUGGUGUAGCGGUGAAAUGCGCAGAUAUCAGGAGGAACACCGGUGGCGAAGGCGGGUCUCUGGGCCGUAACUGGCGCUGAGGAGCGAAAGCGUGGGGAGCGAACAGG
rnacentral:rRNA from 1 species